rnacentral:rRNA from 1 species
UACGAAGGGGGCUAGCGUUGCUCGGAAUCACUGGGCGUAAAGCGCACGUAGGCGGUUCGCUAAGUCAGGGGUGAAAUCCUGGAGCUCAACUCCAGAACUGCCUGUGAUACUGGCAAUCUCGAGUCCGGGAGAGGUGAGUGGAACUGCGAGUGUAGAGGUGAAAUUCGUAGAUAUUCGCAGGAACACCAGUGGCGAAGGCGGCUCACUGGCCCGGUACUGACGCUGAGGUGCGAAAGCGUGGGGAGCAAACAGG